rnacentral:rRNA from 1 species
CCCUUAGAUGUUCUGGGCCGCACACGCGCUACACUGAUGCAUUCAACGAGCCUAUCCUUGACCGACAGGUCCGGGUAAUCUUUGAAUCUGCAUCGUGACGGGGAUAGAUUAUUGCAAUUAUUAAUCUUCAACGAGGAAUGCCUAGUAGGCGCAAGUCAUCAGCUUGCGUCGAUUACGUCCCUGCCCUUUGUACACACCGCCCGUCGCUACUACCGAUUGAACGGUUUAGUGAGGGCCUCGGAUUGGUCUCGGCCCGCUCUUUACCGGGCGGCGCCGUUGGUCGAGAAGACGCUCGAACUUGAUCGUUUAGAGGAAGUAAAAGUCGUAACA